ACGCUCGACACCUACAGGAGGCAGCAGUGGGGAAUAUUGCACAAUGGGGGAAACCCUGAUGCAGCGACGCCGCGUGAAGGAAGAAGUAUUUCGGUAUGUAAACUUCUAUCAGCAGGGAAGAAAAUGACGGUACCUGAGUAAGAAGCACCGGCUAAAUACGUGCCAGUAGCCGCGGUAAUCUGAGCGGGCUGGCAAGGC
rnacentral:rRNA from 1 species